GACGAACGCUGGCGGCGUGCUUAACACAUGCAAGUCGAGCGGAGCUGCGAACGGGUGAGUAACGCGUGAAUAACUGCCCCCCUCUCUGGGAUGACAGUUGGAAACGGCUGCUAAUACCGGAUAGUGGGGGGUGACUCGCGUCCUAUCAGCUGGUGGGUGGGGUAGUGGCAUACCAAGGCGACGACGGGUAGCCGGCCUGAGAGGGCGGCCGGCCACAUUGGGCUGAGAGACGGCCCAAACGCCUACGGGAGGCAGCAGGGGGGAAUAUUGCACAAUGGGGGAAACCCUGAUGCAGCAACGCGCGUGCGGGAUGACGGCCUUCGGGUUGUAAACCGCUUUCAGCCAUGACGCGGUAGUGGCAGAAGAAGCACCGGCUAACUACGUGCCAGCAGCCGCGGUAAUAC
rnacentral:rRNA from 1 species